rnacentral:rRNA from 1 species
GACGAACGCUGGCGGCGUGCCUAAUACAUGCAAGUCGAACGCAGUGGGGACGGGUGAGUAACACGUGGGUAACCUCCCAUCAGAGGGGAUAACACUUGGACACAGCUGCUAAACCGAUACCGAUGGCCCGCCCCGCGGUGCAUUAGCUAGUGGGUGAGGUAACGGCUCACCAAGGCCACGAUGCAUAGCCGACCGGAGAGGGUGAUCGGACACACUGGGACUGCGACACGGACGAGGCUCCUACGGGAGGCAGCGGUAGGGAAUAGUCGGCAAUGGACGAAAGUCUGACCGAGAAACGCCGCGUGAGUGAAGAGGGUUUUCGGAUCGUAAGACUCUGGUGUUAGAGAAGCGGUAUGUAACCAGAAAGCCACGGCUAACGACGUGCCAGCGGCCGCGGUAAUAC